UACGUAGGGUGCGAGCGUUGUCCGGAAUUAUUGGGCGUAAAGGGCUCGUAGGCGGUCUGUUGCGUCGGGAGUGAAAACUCGGGGCUUAACCCCGGGCCUGCAGUGGGUACGGGCAGACUAGAGUGCGGUAGGGGAGACUGGAAUUCCUGGUGUAGCGGUGAAAUGCGCAGAUAUCAGGAGGAACACCAGCGGCGAAGGCGGCACUCUGGGCUGGAACUGACGCUGAGGAGCGAAAGCGUGGGUAGCAAACAGG
rnacentral:rRNA from 1 species